rnacentral:rRNA from 1 species
CGCCACCUACGGGACGCAGCAGUGGGGAAUAUUGCGCAAUGGGCGAAAGCCUAACGCAGCGACGCCGCGUGAGGGAUGAAGGUCUUCGGAUCGUAAACUUCUGUCAGGAGGGAAGAAGUGGUUAUAUGCGAAUAGUGUAUGACUUUGACGGUACCUCCAAAGGAAGCACCGGCUAACUCCGUGCCAGCAGCCGCGGUAAUACGCAGGGUGCGAGCGUUAAUCGGAAUCACUGGGCGUAAAGCGCGCGUAGGCGGCUUUUCAAGUCA